UACGUAGGGGGCAAGCGUUGUCCGGAUUCAUUGGGCGUAAAGAGCGCGCAGGCGGCUUGGUAAGUCGGAUGUGAAAACCCGAGGCUCAACCUCGGGCGUGCAUCCGAAACUGCUCGGCUAGAGGUAGGUAGGGGAGAUCGGAAUUCCUGGUGUAGCGGUGAAAUGCGCAGAUAUCAGGAGGAACACCGGUGGCGAAGGCGGAUCUCUGGGCCUUACCUGACGCUCAGGCGCGAAAGCUAGGGGAGCGAACUGG
rnacentral:rRNA from 1 species